UUCCGGUUGAUCCUGCCGGACCUGACUGCUAUCGGAUUGAUACUAAGCCAUGUGAGUCUUUGUAGCAAUACAAGGCGUACGGCUCAGUAACACGUAGUCAACCUACCUUAUGGACGGGGAUAACCUCGGGAAACUGAGAAUAAUACCCGAUAGGCCAUUAUUCCUGGAAUGGUUUAUGGUCAAAAUGAAUUUCGCCAUAGGAUGGGACUGCGGUCUAUCAGCUUGUUGGUGAGUUAAUGGCCCACCAAGGCUAUAACAGAUACGGGCUCUGAGAGGAGAAGCCCGGAGAUGGGUACUGAGACACGGACCCAGGUCCUAUGGGGCGCAGCAGGCGAGAAAACUUUGCAAUGUGCGAAAGCACGACAAGGUUAAUCCGAGUGGUUUCUGCUAAAGGAACCUUUUGUCGGUCCUAGAAACACCGAUGAAUAAGGGGUGGGCAAGUUCUGGUGUCAGCCGCCGCGGUAAAACCAGCACCUCAAGUGGUCAGGAUGAUUAUUGGGCCUAAGGCAUCCGUAGCCUGCUUUGUUAGUUUUCGGUUAAAUCCAUACGCUUAACGUAUGGGCUGCCGGGAAUACUGCAAAGCUAGGGAGUGGGAGAGGUAGACGGUACUCGGUAGGAAGGGGUAAAAUCCUUUGAUCUAUUGAUGACCACCUGUGGCGAAGGCGGUCUACCAGAACACGUCCGACGGUGAGGGAUGAAAGCUGGGGGAGCAAACCGGAUUAGAUACCCGGGUAGUCCCAGCUGUAAACUAUGCAAACUCAGUGAUGCAUUGGCUUGAUGCCAAUGCAGUGCUGCAGGGAAGCCGUUAAGUUUGCCGCCUGGGAAGUACAUACGCAAGUAUGAAACUUAAAGGAAUUGGCGGGGGAGCACCACAAGGGUGAAGCCUGCGGUUCAAUUGGAUUCAACGCCGGGA
rnacentral:rRNA from 1 species